rnacentral:lncRNA from 1 species
GUGUAUCUUACUUCUAUAGUAUAAGGUUGCAAACUUAUAAAAAAUGUCUUCUUAUUUUAUAGUAUAAGGUUGUAAACUUAUAUAAAAUCUCUUUCUAUUUUAUAGUAUAAGGUUGCAACCUUAACAAACUCUCUUCCUAUUUAGAAUCGUUCGGCUAUUUUGGAUAAGGGCAAACUUUAUAUGCUUCCUCUACAGCAUAAAACUUGUAUAUUUUCCCUUAUCCAACCGUCCAUUCUGAAUAGAGGGCUAAUAUUGCUCUAAUCACAAUGUCACAUCUCUACACUAUUUUAUUUUUAAUUAUUUUUCUAUAAACUAUUUUGACAACAAAUUUUGUACUUCCAAACCUCUAUUAAACUCACACUAGCGAAAAAUAUAAAAAUAAUAUUUUCAAUAAACAAAUGACCAAAAUACCCUGAAAAGAUUUAAGGGGUAUUUUGAUCAUUAUAUUUUAUCGAAAAAAUAUUUUUAAUAUUGUUUAUAGGUGCGCUCCAAUGAGAAUAUGAUACGUACCAAAUUUCAUAUUCAUACAAUUUAUAAAAAAACUAAACAUAAAAUACUUUCAGAUGUCGGAUCUAAGAUCAAACGGUGAGUGGCUCUCUUGAUAAAAAAUGGACGGCUGGAUGGUAGGGGAAGCAUAGAUCUUCUAUGCUGUAGAAGAAGUAUAGAAACCUU